GUUUCCAUGAUGGGCAGCAAUGCAUGCUGCAGCUGGCUCCUGCAAGAGACCCGGGCCAAGGGCAUGGUGGGGAAGCAGCAAGGACUAAAUGAAGCUCAUCAUGCUCACUGCCUGCCACUGAGGGCUUCCAGUUGUGGCAUGUGGGACGCUGCCUCAGCGUGGUUCAACGAGCAGUGUCAUGUCCGCGCCCAGGAUUCGAAUCAACGAAACACUGGGCCGCCUGCAGCGAAGCGAGCAAACUUAACCACUCUGCCACGGGGCCAGCCCCCCUUCCGGGGCCCUUUUGCUGCUGGAUGAGCCUGGUUCUCAGAUUGACAGCAAAUAGCAAAGCAAACAAGCUUCUCGAGACUGACGAUGUGGUGGUGCUAUCCUGGAUUAGGAGGAGUCCUUCUUCCUGAUUGCCUACUACUGUUAAGAGCACUAAAGUAAGCUUUCCUGGCUGAUGAAGUCCAGCACUCAAUGAGUCGGUCAAACAUAUUGGAUGUACUGAAAACAAAAGCAAAGAAGGAGCAACAAAAGUCCUUGUAAUAAAAGAGGUUAAUCACUUUAUGUGGCCUCUUACUGGACAACAUUAACAGUGGAUUUUAUAUGCUUAGGGGUCAUGAUGAAGAAAACAACAUGAGACUAAAUCAAGCACAGGAGAAAAUGAUGCAAUCAAGACACACGGUAAACAUGAGAUGUAUGAGGCUGCUGCUGGUAUAACACAGCAUACUAUUUUACAGUAAACUUUUUUUAUAUGUAGAAAGAAUGCACUAAAAUAAUGAUAAAAAAGUAUAGUACAGUAAACACAUAAACCAGUAAAGUAGCCAUUUAUUAUCGUCAUCAAGUAUAAUGUACUGUACAUAAUUGAAUGUGCUAUACUUUUACACAACUAGCAGUGCUGUAGGUUUGUUUACACCAGCAUCACCACAAACACAGCAGUAAUGCUUUGCGCUAUGAUGUUAGGAUGGCUAUGACGUCACUAGGUGAUAGGAAAAUUUCAGCUCUAUUAUAAUCUUAUGGAACCACACUUGUAUAUGUGGUCCGUCAUUGACCAAAACAUCAUUUUACAGUGCAUGAUUGUACUAGUUUUUAGAUUCUUUGCAACUAAUAUUUGUUUUAUUGUUUAACCAUCUGUAUUAGUUUCCUAGACCUGCUCUAACAAAAUAGCACAAAUUUGGUGGCAGCAAAAAUUUAUUCUUUCACCGUUUUGGAGGUCAGAAGUCCCAAAUUAAAGUGUUGGCAGGAUUGAUUCCUUCUGGAGGCUCGGAAGUAGAAUGUAUUCCCCACCUUCCGGCAGCUUCUGGCAAUCCUUGAUAUCUCUUGGCUUGUAGACUCAUCACGCCCAGCUCUGCUCCAUGUUCAAGUCAGCUUUCUCUCUGUGUGUUUGUGUCUCAACUCUCCCUCUCCUUUUCCUUAUAAGGACACCGGUCACUGGAUUUAGGGCCCGCUCUAAAUCCAGGAUGUCAUUUUGAGACCUUUAACUUCAUCAAAUCUGCGAAGACUCUAUUUCCAAAUAAGGUCACAUUCACAGAUACCAGGGUUAGGAGCCGGACAUAUCUUUUGGGGAGAUACAAUUCAACUCACUACAUCAUCUAUGGCUUUUAAAAAUUUCUGCAUUAUAUGAGAAAGCACAUGUUAGAUUUUAUAUAUGUUAAGGAUAUGAUUACAGAAGCAAAGUGAGAAGUUGAUACAAUUGUCUAGAAAAUUCCAGAAAAAUGCUCAAUUUUGAUUCAUGUGGCUGAAUAUUUUAGGCCAAACAUAAUUUGAAAAUCUGCAUGAUGCUCUUGGAAGAUUCUUUUAGUCUUAAGAGAUAUGGAGUUGAGAAAAAGAUAACAUAAUAACUAGGAGUAGGGUACACAUCAUUAGAGAACAGAAAGACAAGGCUUUUCAGGCUCAAAAACAUUCUGAAAUUCUGGUGAUAUGUGAAAAUGACUUGCAAUGCUGCAAAAUUACAUGACCAUGGAUGUACUUUUUAUUUGUUACAGUCUAGAAUUUGUGCUUUUAUCUGUAAUUCAAAUAUUAAUGGCAGUUAGUUGGUUAACAUUUAUUGAACUCUAGAUCUUCAAUUAUGAGAGGAUCAAUAGAA
rnacentral:lncRNA from 1 species